GAUCAAGCUAUUAAGAGCGUAUAGUGGAUGCCUUGGCAAUUGGCGCCGAUGAAGGCCGUGAUUAACUGCGAUAAGCCACGGGUAGGUGUAAGUAACCUGUGAUCCGUGGAUUGCCGAAUGAGGAAACUCACUUAGGGUAAUGCCUAAGUAUCCUGCAAUGAAUUCAUAGUUGCAGCGAGGGGAACCUACUGAACCGAAACAUCUUAGUAAGUAGAGGAAAAGAAAAUAAAAAAAUGAUUCCGUCAGUAGUGGCGAGCGAACGCGGAAGAGCCUAAACCGGAUUCGUCCGGGGUAAUGGACUGCAUAAGUGACCUUGAGGAUAAUGGAACGGUUUUGGGAAAGCCGGCCGAAGAGGGUGAAAGCCCCGUACACGAAAUCCAAGACUGCAGCGGCAGUAUCCGGAGUACCACGAGACACGAGAAACCUUGUGGGAAAUCGGGGGGACCACCCCCCAAGGCUAAAUACUACCUGGUGACCGAUAGCGCAUAGUACUGUGAAGGAAAGGUGAAAAGGACCCCGGGAGGGGAGUGAAAGAGAACCUGAAACCCUGUGUUUACAAUCAGCGGGAGUGCCUUACGAGCACGACCGCGUACUUUUUGUAGAACGGUCCGG
rnacentral:rRNA from 1 species